AUGGCGGCCGACAUGGAGAUGCCAGAUCCGGAGGAGCUCGAGUGGAUGGAGAGCAACGGCCUCCUCCCGGAAGAAGAGGAGUACGCCUACUUCGACGACCCCGCUGAGGGCUUCCUCCCGGCCGCCGGCGACGCGUGCAAACCGCCCGCCCCCCCGCAGGAGACCGCCACCUCCCCCGCAAAGCCCGCAGAUGAGGUGUCGGACGCCAAUCUGAAGCGGCCUCCCCCUCCGCCUCCGCCGGAGCAGGAGGAGGACAGGAGCAAGAGGAGGAAUGUCGAUCGGGUGGAUUCGGUGGACGAAGACUGGCUGCGGUACUCGCCCCCUCCCGCCGCCGAAGCCGUCGCCGAGAAGAUUGUGUCGCGGUUCGCGUCGGAGAUCCAGGGGGACUCUAUGCCCGUCACAGCGCCCAACGGAGAAAGAGUUUAUGCCAAGCUUGCGACGGAGAAAUUGGUUAGCGAAGUAAUUGAGGGAACUGGGCGAAGGACUUCAAUUUCCAACCACGAUGGGCUUCUCCCAGAAUCAUUUCAUUCGUUGACUAUGCAAGCGGAACAAGAGGCUCUAGCAAAGGCCUUGAUGGAAAGCACAGAGGCACAGUAUGUCGAGGGUUGUCCGUUGACUCCAAUAGUCACAGAACAACUUUGGGUGGAGAAAUAUGCACCACACUCUUUUACAGAGCUGUUAAGUGAUGAGCACACAAACAGGGAGGUACUUCUAUGGUUAAAACAAUGGGACUCCUGUGUGUUUGGGUCCCAUAUCCAGGGUACAAGUGAUGAUACUUUAUCCGCCUUACGUAGACAUUCUUGUACCAUUCAAAAGAACUCAAGUAGCAGAAGUUUCUUUUCCAAGAGCAGGGGAGCCUAUGUCAUGGGUCAAGAUAGCAUGCCCCAAAAUACACCUGGUAGCAACUCAGAAGAUUUGAAAAGCACCUUUCACAAAAAGCCUUCCGUUGAUAACGCACCAGAACAGAAGGUGUUGCUACUAUGUGGUCCAGCUGGCCUUGGGAAGACAACACUUGCUCACGUGGCAGCUAAACAUUGUGGUUACCAUGUUGUGGAGAUAAAUGCCAGUGAUGAUCGUUCUGCUUCAUCCAUUGAACCAAAAAUUCUUGAUGUAGUUCAGAUGAACUCUAUCAUGUCAGAUUCCAAACCUAAGUGUCUGGUAAUUGAUGAAAUUGAUGGAGCGCUUGGUGAUGGAAAAGGGGCAGUGGAGGUUAUUCUAAAGAUGAUCAAUGCUGAUAAGAACAACAAUUCUGACAGAAGCAAUGGAGCUGAAGAAACUCAAGUCCAAAAGGCUUCCUCAAGGAAAAGUCAUAGAACAGCAAAACUACUGAGGCCUGUAAUUUGUAUAUGCAAUGACCUGUAUGCUCCAGCCUUGAGAAAACUACGCCAAGUAGCCAAGGUUCAUAUUUUUGUGCAGCCAACGAUUAGUCGUGUGGUGAACAGGCUCAAGUACAUAUGCAAGAAGGAAGGAUUCAAGACAAGUUCAAUUGCUCUUUCUGCAUUAGCGGAUUAUACUGAAUGUGACAUCCGAUCAUGCCUGAACACUCUUCAAUUUCUGAACAAGAAAAGAGAGGCACUAAACAUUUCAGGGUUUGAUUCACAAGUCAUUGGAAGGAAGGACAUGUCCAAAAGCAUCCUUGAUGUUUGGAAACAGGUUCUUCAAAAGAAAAAACUCAAGCGGGCGGAAAUGGCAGAUUGUAAUGUGAGCGGAGACAAGGACAUUGGCUCUCUGUUCUCACUCAUAUCUAACCGUGGUGAUUAUGAUGUUACUAUGGAUGGGAUUCAUGAGAACUUCUUAAAACUCUCUUACCAUGACCCAAUGCUGCACAAGACGGUGAAAUGCCUUGAUGUACUUGGAGUUUCUGAUUAUUUGACGCAAUAUGUUUACCGAACUCAGCAUAUGUCACUCCAAGCAUAUCAACCUCCUAUUGCCAUCACUAUAAGCCGUAUCGUUGCUCAAGUUGAGAAGCCAAAUAUUGAGUGGCCGAAAGCCCUGCAAAGGUGCCGAACAAUGCUUUUGGAAAAGAAGGACACAUUGAAGACCUGGCAAAACCGAAUGCCACCGCUCAUUUCAAGGCACCUGUCAGUGGAAUCUUUUGUUGGAGACAUUGCUUCCCCCUUUUUACAUAUUCUUUCGCCGUUGAAUCUGAGACCUGUGGCACUGAAUUUGAUGUCAGAGAGGGAAAAAAAUGAACUUGUGCAGCUAGUUGAUACUAUGGUUGCUUACUCGGUUACAUACAAAAACACAAAGUUUGAACCUCAAGAAAGGGCAAAUGGAUCUAUUGUGCCUAUGGAUAUUCCUUCACUUUCUUUUGAUCCUCCAAUCAAUGAUAUCAUAAGCUUUAAGGAUUAUCAAUCCGAGCACAUUGGUCUCUCUUUGGCCAUGAAACAGGUCUUGGUGCACGAGGUAGAGAAGCAAAAAAUCAUCAAAGAUAGUGCAGGAAAAUUGUUGAACCAAAUUAAUGAAGGAGUUAGGAGUGAAGUUCCAACAACUACAUGCCAGAAAACAGCGACUGGUACUGCAUGUGAUACUUCUCAGGGUAGCUCUAAGGGCAAAUCAUCUACACUUCCAACGCAGCUAAACUCAGCCUCUAGUUUGAGUGGUAAAGGUCUUGCACAUGCAAAGAGACCCUCAAGUCACCCAACUGAUUUCUUUCAAAGCUUUAGGAAAGAAAGACCAGGGGGUGCAAAGACUCAUAUUGAUGCUGGGCAGCAAGGAGCAACAGUUCAGAGGGAUUUGCGCCCGCUUAUCUUCAAAUAUAAUGAGGGCUACACAAAUGCAGUUAAAAGGCCAGUCAGAGUUCGCGACCUUCUGCUCUAG
rnacentral:rRNA from 1 species